rnacentral:rRNA from 1 species
CUACGUGCCAGCAGCCGCGGUAAUACGGAGGGUGCGAGCGUUAAUCGGAAUAACUGGGCGUAAAGGGCACGCAGGCGGCUAUUUAAGUGAGGUGUGARAUCCCCGGGCUUAACCUGGGAAUUGCAUUUCAGACUGGGUAGCUAGAGUACUUUAGGGAGGGGUAGAAUUCCACGUGUAGCGGUGAAAUGCGUAGAGAUGUGGAGGAAUACCGAAGGCGAAGGCAGCCCCUUGGGAAUGUACUGACGCUCAUGUGCGAAAGCGUGGGGAGCAAACAGGAUUAGAUACCCUGGUAGUCCACGCUGUAAACGCUGUCGAUUUGGGGAUUGGGCUUUAAGCUUGGUGCCCGUAGCUAACGUGAUAAAUCGACCGCCUGGGGAGUACGGCCGCAAGGUUAAAACUCAAAUGAAUUGACGGGGGCCCGCACAAGCGGUGGAGCAUGUGGUUUAAUUCGAUGCAACGCGAAGAACCUUACCUACUCUUGACAUCCAUGGAAUUCUGUAGAGAUACGGGAGUGC